rnacentral:other from 1 species
AUGGCCCUGCGGGGCACGUGAAGGACUGGUCAGCUUGAGCCAACACUCACGCAUCGGGAAUCUGAUAUGCGACCGUGGUGAGCAGGCCUCUCAUCGGAAGAGGAAGCCUGAAGCGGUUCUUGGAAUCCCACCUGGCGAACCCGGUUCAACUUAAACCAUCCUCACGACCUCGCGGGGUUCCU